CGCUCAGUUGUCUCAGGAAUUGCGCAUAAGGGUGUCGAAGGCGGAUCGCAAGGAUAUGUCAGCUGUAGCAUUGGACUUCUUUUUUGAGACGGUAAAGGAGAAGAAGAAGAAGAAUCGACAUAAUAGGUGAAACAAAUACAAUGAAACACAAGACUCUAAACAACAACAACAUCAGCGAGAACAAAUCAUUUUUAGCAUUUAAUUCAUACCUUUGGAACUAGCUUUUUGGUCUUUUCACCUGAUUGUGACACUUCAAUAGGUACUUCAGAUUCAAGUGAAACAGUUUGUACUCCAACAUCAACCUUAUCAACUGUAAGAAGAAGAGGCUUCAGUUCAGCGGGUUUAUAAGAAAACCUGAAGGAAGAGCGACC